CCUACGGGAGGCAGCAGUGAGGAAUUUUCCGCAAUGGGCGAAAGCCUGACGGAGCAAUACCGCGUGGAGGAUGACGGCCUGUGGGUCUUAAACUCCUUUUCUUAGAGAAGAAGCUCUGACGGUAUCUAAGGAAUAAGCAUCGGCUAACUCCGUGCCAGCAGCCGCGGUAAUACGGGGGAUGCAAGCGUUAUCCGGAAUGAUUGGGCGUAAAGCGUCUGUAGGUGGCUUCCCAAGUCAACUGUCAAAAAUCAGGGCUUAACCUUGAGCCGGCAGUUGAAACUAUGAAGCUUGAGUUAGGUAGGGGCAGAGGGAAUUCCUAGUGUAGCGGUGAAAUGCGUAGAUAUUAGGAAGAACACCAAUCGCGAAAGCACUCUGCUGGGCCAUAACUGACACUCAGAGACGAAAGCUAAGGGAGCAAAUGGGAUUAGAUACCCCAGUAGUCUUAGCCGUAAACGAUGGAUACUAAGUUCUGGUCGAUUUAAAACCGUUCAGUUCUGUAGCUAACGCGUCAAGUAUCCCGCCUGGGGAGUAUGCUCGCAAGGGUGAAACUCAAAGGAAUUGACGG
rnacentral:rRNA from 1 species